UGUUUUUGUUAAUGUUAUUGAUUGUCAGUGUACUGUUGUCUAUUAUUGUUAUUGUUAUUAUUGUUAUUGCUGUUAUUUUUGCAGCAGGUUGCUUUGGAGCUGUCUUUUCUCAGUUGACCUAGUAUAUGGAUAUUUAUGACAUUGCUUUCGCUCUUUGUUUUGAACUGUGACUGCUUUAGAAGUAUGUAAAUGCAGAGAAGAGGAUACAGAUAUGUACAUGUGCAAUAGAACAACAACGUGGUUCCCUUCCUUUAACCCAGAAUGCCCCUCUGUGUACCUAGAAUGCCCCUGUGUGUCCUAUCUCUGUAUGGGUAGUUAAGCCCGUGUUAGCUAUACCAUUGCUUCAGCAGAAGAUAUGACUGUUAAAUGAUAUUGACUUAAAUGGGAAAGUCUGCGCUGUGUAGGCCAUUUCUUUGGAAACAACUCUUAUUGUGUGGGCUGUUAAAGGACCUUAUUAUGGUCUAUGUGUCUUUUUCUGCCCCCCCCCCCCGUCUCUCCAACUUUCUCUUAUCAUAUUUCUAUAAUUGUUUCCUCUGCUAAGCAACAAAGCAGGCUCUGUUGUCAUGGCAACAAUCGAGCAGGCUUAAGAUUUGUCUCUUUAAGGAGCACCAGUCACAGUGGGGUGUCGAAAGAAUAUUUUCCAAUUAUCCGUACCUGAAUACAGCUUGUGCGGGUGCAUGUGAGUCUGAGUGCUUUUCGGCAAGUGUGCUUUUUGUAGUAAAAUACCCUGAAAUUCAGCCAUUUGAGGACUAGUUUGUUAUCCUAAUUUUCACACUUUUUUAUUUAAAUCUUCUUUACAUAAAAAAAUAAAACGUACCAGAAGAUUGUCUUGGGGCAUUGAUUUUAAUACUGUAAAAGAGAAGUAAGGAUGAAAUUGAGGGCAUGCCACAAUCGCCAAGAAGCUGUAAACCGUACCCACUUUCAUUGAGGGAUUAGAAAAAUGUAAAGGUUUAUUUAGCUAAAGAAAAUUUCUAUAUAUAUAUAUAUAUAUGAAUUAAAUUCUAUGAAUGCAUACUUUCUGUGCUAUUUUCCUAUGGGGGUUCAUUUCACACUAAUUAUGUAGAAUGGAACAGAAUCUCAAGUGCUUUUUACUACAGUCUAACUUAUUUCUUUGAAUUUCAUUUUUACUACCUGUGUUCUUUUGUAAUAAAAUAUAGGAAAAGCACUGUUUAUUAAAAUUUUACAAUACUCAUGAAAGAAGUGUUUCUCGUUCUUU
ensembl:lncRNA